AGGGCUUCGAACGGUAAGGCUCCAGCUUGCUGGGGUACACGAGUGGCGAACGGGUGAGUAACACGUGGGUGACCUGCCCUGGGGGGGGGGGGCACUUCGGGAUAAGCCUGGGAAACUGGGUCUAAUACCGGAUAGGACCAUGGUGUGGAUGCUGUGGUGGAAAGUUUUUUCGGUGUGGGAUGGGCCCGCGGCCUAUCAGCUUGUUGGUGGGGUAAUGGCCUACCAAGGCGGCGACGGGUAGCCGGCCUGAGAGGGUGGACGGCCACAUUGGGACUGAGACACGGCCCAGACUCCUACGGGAGGCAGCAGUGGGGAAUAUUGCACAAUGGGCGGAAGCCUGAUGCAGCGACGCCGCGUGGGGGAUGACGGCCUUCGGGUUGUAAACUCCUUUCACCAUCGACGAAGGGUUUCUGACGGUAGAUGGAGAAGAAGCACCGGCUAACUACGUGCCAGCAGCCGCGGUAAUACGUAGGGUGCGAGCGUUGUCCGGAAUUACUGGGCGUAAAGAGCUCGUAGGUGGUUUGUCGCGUCGUCUGUGAAAUUCCGGGGCUUAACUCCGGGCGUGCAGGCGAUACGGGCAUAACUUGAGUACUGUAGGGGAGACUGGAAUUCCUGGUGUAGCGGUGAAAUGCGCAGAUAUCAGGAGGAACACCGGUGGAAAAGGGGGGGGGAUCGGGGGCUGGGGUCCCAGCGAAGGCGGGUCUCUGGGCAGUAACUGACGCUGAGGAGCGAAAGCAUGGGGAGCGAACAGGAUUAGAUACCCUGGUAGUUUUGGGGGCUUUUGGGCCCAAAAAAAAAAAUUUUUUUUCCAUGCCGUAAACGGUGGGCGCUAGGUGUGGGUUUCCUUCCACGGGAUCCGUGCCGUAGGGGGGGGGGCUAACGCAUUAAGCGCCCCGCCUGGGGAGUACGGCCGCAAGGCUAAAACUCAAAGGAAUUGACGGGGGCCCGCACAAGCGGCGGAGCAUGUGGAUUAAUUCGAUGCAACGCGAAGAACCUUACCUGGGCUUGACAUAUACAGGAUCGCGCCAGAGAUGGUGUUUCCCUUGUGGCUUGUAUACAGGUGGUGCAUGGUUGUCGUCAGCUCGUGUCGUGAGAUGUUGGGUUAAGUCCCGCAACGAGCGCAACCCUUGUCUUAUGUUGCCAGCACGUUGUGGUGGGGACUCGUAAGAAACUGCCGGGGUUAACUCGGAGGAAGGUGGGGAUGACGUCAAAUCAUCAUGCCCCUUAUGUCCAGGGCUUCACACAUGCUACAAUGGUCGGUACAGUGGGUUGCCAGUCCGUGAGGGCGAGCUAAUCCGAGAUGUUGGGUUAAGUCCCGCAACGAGCGC
rnacentral:rRNA from 1 species